GGCCUCCAUCGAGUGCCUCGGACGAAGGCACCGAAAUGGACCCAGGGCAAUCCGCGGUCCAUCUGGGCACGCGGUAAUGUGAGCAUCUGCCAAGUCGGGAGCCCUUCUCUGGGGUUACAAAGAUAAAGGCCGCCGGCCCUCGAGGAACCCGCAGAAGCAAGGAAGAGAGCACCAUGAAAUGCAAGCUAUUUAACUUAUGCUCUGUAUGGUUUGGGGGGAGAUGUUUUAGCUCCUAGUAACAGUUUUUUGGUCUACAGUGUAGUAUUAAUGAUACUGAUGCUGGAAGUCGGUUAAUAAGGUUUUGCAUAAUGUAGGCAAAGUACCUGACACCAUGAGUGGCCCUAGUAGUCACCCAACAAAUGGCUUAUUUAAUGCACUUUUCGUUUGUGCAAGAAAAAGCCUGAUUUCUAAUUUCAGGGAGAGACUCAUCUAUGAACUGCUUGGUGUUUUAUAGAACUACCCCACCCCCACCCGGUCCUGGCUCUUUGCCCCACAGAAACAUACAGAGGCCAAUCCAAAGGUUAAGUGCUCCUGCAGUUCUCUCUUCUCCUACCUCAUUAAUUUUCUCCCUUUAUUGGAUCAUCUCCAUCUACAUAAAAUCAUGCUACUUCUCCCAUCUUAAAAACAAAAAAACUCUUGAACCCCCUUCCCCCACCAGCCACUUGCCCCUCUUCUGCUCUGCUAUAGCCAAAUGCCUGUAAAGAAUUUUAACAAGGGGCACCUGGGCGGUUCAAUGGCUCACAUAUCUGACCUCCACUCAGGUCUCAUGGUUCAUGAGUUCAAGCCCCACAUCAGGCUUUGCACUGAUAGCCUGCUAGGGAUUCUUUCUCCCUCUCUCUGCCCCUACCCAGCUUGCACUCUCUCAAAAUAAACAAAUAAACUUCAAAAACAAAACAAAGAAUUGUUAACAAAAGCUGUCUCCAUGUGCUGUCCUCCCAUUUACUCCAGUCAGGCUUUUGCUUUGACCACGUCCCUCAAAUUCUUCUUACCGAGAUCAAACUCUCAAAUCAAAAGGUGUUUCAGUCUUUACCUCACUUGGACAGUCAGCAGCAAUUAACAGUUGAUCACUUUCUCCUCCUGGAAACGGUUUUGACUUCCACACCACCAUGUUUUCAUGGCUUUAUUCCUAACCUUUGCCCGUCCCUUCUUUUCUCCCAGCCGCUGAGCUGUGGAGUGCCCAGGUUUCAGACUUUGGAUCUCUUGUCUAUCCACACUCUCUCCCAUGGUGAUCUCAUCCUGUUUCAUGGCACUAAAUACCACCUAUGUGGUAACGACUCCCAAAUCUCACCUCCAGCCGGGCGUUCUCCCCUGAACUGCAGGCUUCAGGCAGUUGCUCACUUGGAUGCCUAUAGGGCUUCUCCCACUGAACAUUUCCCACGCUGACAUCCUGAGAGUCCUCCCUCUGUCCCCCACCCAACCUGUCCAAACUCAAGUCUCACUCCUAUCAGGCCUAAAACCUUGGUAUCAUCUUUGAUUUUCUAUUUCUCUUGCAUUUCAAAUCCAAUCCGUCAGGAAAUCCUUUUAGCUCUACUUCAAAAGAAGUCCAAGAAUUCAACUGCUUAGUACCACCACUGUUCUUACCACCCAGGUCUAACCUACCAUCAUGUCUUCACUUUGAUUGCCCUAACCCUGUUUCUACUUUUGCCCCCCCUGGGCUCUUCUCAACACAGCAGCCAGAGCAAUCCCUUUCAACAGGAAGCUCAUAUCCCUCUUCUGCUCAAAACCCUGCGAUGAACCCCAUCUCAAUCAGAACAAAAGCGAAAGUCCAUACAGUAGCCCGGAAGGACAAUACAUGAUCUGCCUUUCUCUAGCCUCAGCUCCUACUUCUCUCACUUCACUUACUUAGCUCCUGCCACAGUGGCCUCCUCGGUAUUCCUGGACUAGAUCCCUGGACAGGUAUGCUUCCAUCUCAGGGCUUUUAUGCUAGCUGGCCUGUCUGGACUUGUCCUCUCCCCAGCUGUUUUGCUCCCUCACUUCCUUCAAGACCCUGAUCAAUUGUCACCGUGUUCCUCAGGCCUACCCUCAGUAUUUAAAAUUAAAAAUGCAUUCUUCAUACAGUAAGCUUUCUUUAGUGUUUUAUUGACAGAACUUUUACCUUCUAUAAUAUUAUAAAAUGUCCUUUAAAAGUUGUAUUUGUUGUCUAACUCUCCUCACUAGAAUAGGAGUUCUGGGCAGGCAGGGAUUUUUGUCUAUUCUCUCCAGUGAUAGAUCCCCGAUGCCCCUAGAAUGAUGGCUGGCAUUUAGUAUGCAUGGUAGCUUUGGGCCAGAGCACGUGGUUGCAAAUAUUUCCUUGCCCAGAAUGAUGCCAGUUGACCAGAUAGACAUUUUCGAGAUGGUUGUGCUCCCCCAAAGGGUCUGAUGAGUAUGUUUACCAACACAUACAUGAGAGGGGCUCAAAGAGUAUUUAUUCACUGUGACUUUUUAAAGUGACUAAAGCCAGUGGUACUUCUCACUCUUGCUUGCAUUCGUGUGGUUUUCAAUAGCUUUCAUUAUUCCAUGGGCGCCUGAGAUGAAGUGGUCUCCCGAAAGGUGCAAAGCUUAAACUAAAUGUGAAAUGCAGACCCCAAGCAUCUUAAAAUGUGGAGAAGACACUCAAUGUAAUACCAGCUAUUAUGUAAUAAUUCUUAUUAUCAGAAUUUCUGUGUUGGUGGACAUACUCUACCAUAAUUAAUGACCACAAUUAAGUUGACAGCAUUCAUAUCUGAGAGAAGGUAGCUAACAUUCAUUCAGAGCAACGGUUACUGUCUAUACCAAGCACUCUUCGAAAUAUGUUAGAGUAUUAAUGAGUUGAAUCCUAUAACAACCCUCCAAGGUAAGUGCUAUUACUCCCAUUUUAAAACCGAAAAAAAAAAAAUGAGGCACAGAAGAGUUAAUGGUCACUCAGUUAAUAAGCUGGUGAAUCAGAAUUUUAACAUGGGCCAGAUGGUUCUAGACUAUGCUCUUAAAUAUUCUGCUCUACCUCUUUAAGUAGGAAUGAUGUAUCAGGGGAAAUUUCUGUAUAAAGAUUAAUUUGUAAAUCACAAAGCAAAAAACUUGAUCCUCAUUGGCCCCCUCUCACUGCCUUGUUUUAUUUGUUGCCAUCUCUCUUUUACUGUAGCCAACCUCCUUCAAGGCUAGAGGGAUCAUUUGAGUCAUAUUUGUGUCAACGAUACUCUAAGACACAUACAUGGGAGGGGCUCAAAGAGUAUUUAUUCACUGUGGCUUUUUUUUUCUAAUAUUUUAUUUUAUUAUUUUAAAAUUUUUAUCCUAUUUUUAUUUUUUUAUAUUAAAUAUAAUUUACUGUCAAUUGGUUUCCGUACAACACCCAGGGCUCAUCCCAACAGGUGACUUUUUAAAGUGACUAAAGCUAGUGGUACUUCUCAUUCCUGCUUGCGUUUGUGUGGUUUUCAAUAGCUUUCAUUAUUCCACGGGUGCCUGAGAUGAAGUGGUCCCCCGAAAGGUGCAAAGCUUAAACUAAAUGUGAAAUGCAGACCCCAAGCAUCUUAAAAUGUGGAGAAGACACUCAAAAUGUAACACCAGCUAUUAUGUAAUAAUUCUUAAUAUCAGAAUUUCUUUUCAUUAUGAUAUUUUUAAAAAUAGAAAAAAAAUGAGCUCUUUCCUUCUACUUUUUCCAUUUCCUGGGUUCUUUACAAUGAAGUCCCCUAAGUAAUCCCAGACCAGAGCCACACCUCACUCUAUCUGCCCUUCUCUAUUGUCCCAUAGGAUUUGGUGUCGUAAACAACACAGCAGAACUUCCUUCCCUGUCCCCUUCUCUAGGAUCUGGAGUGGUUGCAAUACCUGAUUUUACUUUGCUGUUUCCUCCCCUGAAGUAGGAAGCGGAGAAAUGUUGCACAAAGUGAUAUUGUAAAUUACUUAUGAGUUAUUGCAUUUGGAAUUAAUUUUGCUAUUGUGCCCUCUCAUCAGCAAACACCAGUUGGACCUGAUUAACUCAUGUCCUGAACCUGAACAUCUCUUCCUCUCUCUGCAGUGAUAGCCUAACAUAUCUUUGUAGCUAGUAACUUGGGCCAUUCUCAACCCCAGUCCAACUUGUGGAACAGCUACUUGUACUGAUGUUCUCUUUGAUAUUAAUCCUAUAUAAAGAAUCAAGUUGUUUUUUUUUAUUUUUUUACGUUUAUUUCUACUUUUGAGAGAGCGAGAGAGACAGAGCAUGAGUGGGGGAGAGGCAGAGAGAGAAGGAGAUAGAAUCCAAAGCAGGCUCCAGGCUCUGAACUGCCAACACAGAGCACUUACACGGGACUCCAACCCCCAAGCUGCAAGAUCAUGACCUGAGCCGAAGUCAGAAGCUUAAACGACUGAGCCACCUAGGUGCCCCAAGCCUGUAUAAAGAAUCGAGAAUUUUUUAUUUGCAGAGUGCAAUGGAAAGAUCACUGGUCGUGGAGUCAGACAGCCCUCGGUUUAAACCCUGACUCAGCCCCAUUUGAAUGUGUUACUUACUUUCAUUGAGAAACAAGCUUCUUUUCUGAAAAAUGAGACUGAUAAUACCUGACUCGUAUUUUAAUGAAUGAAUGUGAAGGCACCAUGCUUUCCACAGGAGAUAGGUAGCACCCAGGGAACACACGAAGGUGUAGUUUUUUUUUUUUCCUUUUUUUAAAAAUAAAAAUGGUAUAUAUUUAAGGCAACAUGAUGAUUUCAUGGACAUACAAAUAGUAAAAGGAUUACUAAGUCUAACAUAUCUUCUCACAUAGUUACCUUAUUUGUGUGGGUGGUAAGGACACCUGAAAUCUACCCUCUUAUCAAUAUUCAAUACAGUAUUAUUAACUAUAGUCAUCAUGUUGUACAUUAGAUCUCUAGACUUAUUUAUACUUUAAACUUCAACUCUAUACUCUUUGACCAGCAUCUCCCCACUUUCCCCACCCAUUUUCCCCAUCUCUCUGCCCCCAGUUAUCACCUUUCUGCUCUCUGCUUCUCUGUAAUCGACCUUAGAUUCCACAUAUAAAUGAGAUCAUGCAGUUCUUUUCUUUCCAUGUCUGGCAUAUUUAAAGUCCUCACCGAAAGAGUCGUUUCCAACCACACUUGUCUUCUCUUGUGGAACUGUUGUCAAUGACAUCAGCCAUUUUGUUUGGAUUAUCCUAUGUUGAGUUCCACGUCAUAAACUCAUUUUAGAACUUAGUACUAAAAUAAAGUUUCUCUUUCUUAAAAAAUCGAUGUUCCUUCAUUUCUUAGAAAAGGUAUUUUGUCUACUUUCACAGUGGAUUUGCCAUUGUUGUUAAGGAGAACUGUGUAAACCCAUGUUUCCCUUUGUAUCCUGGUUGCCAGGAAGCUCAAAGUCAUUAAAUGAUUGUACUAUGGAAAUAAAGAUUUUGCUUCCUACCAUUUUUUUUAAACAUCUUUGAUGUGUUUUUUAUUUCAACAACCUUAUUGGAUAUUUGAAUUUUACUCUGUGUUCUCAAAUAUAUAUUUAAACAUAUGAAGUAUACAAAAUACCUUAGCUCUUCAAAUUAACACCAUAAUAUUAACCAAAGUUAAAGUGGACAUUUUCCCCCCUGUACAGCUUUAUGUUCGAACUAUUAAGAUUGUUUCUCUAAUUAUGAGAAUAAUCUAAAUACAUUUGAAACAUCUGAUUAAUUUCUGCAUCAAAUGUUAUCUUUCUCCCCUGCCCCCAACCUUUUCUGUGAGUUUGUAUUGGAAUCAGGUAGGAAAAGGACGGUGUGUGUGUGUGUGUGUGUGUGUGUGUGUGCAAACUUUAAUCAACCUAUCCCAGCAGUGUUUAUCAGGCCCAUUUUUCUUUUCUAAUCACUUGAAGAGCCUGAAUUGAUUUACUUUUCCAGUAUAGCAGACUUAAAACAAGGAGUUUGCUUUGUAGCUUAUCUGCUCAUCACAGAAAAAAACAAUACUCUGUGAGCACCACUCCUCAAUACCACAGGAAACUCAGCUUCUCUGUCUCUCCUCUUCAUUUUUUCUUUCAUCUGACUUUCAUCUCUCUCCAGUUAUCCCAUUUCUUGAUUUCAAACUCCCUAAUGCUAUGCUAUGCUAUGCUAUAAUACAAUUCUAUGGAGCCACGUUAGACAGGGAUAAGUGUUUGAAUUGAUGUGUCAGAUAUAUACAGACCUCACUGUUCUAGAGACUUCUGACAACUCAAAGCAGGAGCCAGGAUUCAGAACAUGAGGAAUGCUAAACACAAAGGCAAAUUUAUUAAGCAUCUACUCUGUUCCACACAAUGUGCCCAGAGGAGUGGAAGAUGGAGACAAAAUAAGACAUUUGUUAUGUGUCUCUAUAUAAGGAGUUUACUGCCUAGCAUAUAACUGUAAUGUGGUAAUGUACUAUAAAACAUACUGUAAAAAAGUAAAGCAAAUAAGUUCAGAGAAGGGGAUAUCUCUGCCCAAUGAAUCUAUCAAGAAAGCUACUUGUAUGUAACCUUCCUAUGGAAAAAAGGGACCUUUUAGAUAGAAGAGAGAGCAUUAAGAAAGCAAGGAGACGGUAAAGCCAAGGCUGAUUAGGGAAGUGGUGAGUAACACUGGCUGCCUGAGCCCAUGGGACAUGGAUGGAGGCAUGAGAGAUAAGACGGGGGAGUUGGGGCCAGAUUUGGGGAGGGGAAGAAUAGGUCUUUGAAUUUUAGAUUUCAUGUCGAAUGCCGUUUUAAUUAGGUCAUUUCCUUGCUCUAAACUUGCACUGGCUCCUUCUCACCGGACAAAUACAGGAAGAGCCGGCGGCUGUGUAGGAAGUAGAAACUGAUUAUAUGGGGCUAGGAUGAAAGAGAGAGAUGAGCUCCAGCCACAGGGUUUAAAGACUCCAAUAAAGCAAUAGGAUUCUGUUUCCUAAUAUGUUAAACAAAGCUGUCAAUCCAAGUCAAGGCUGCUCAGUUGACUAAUCAUUAAGGUCCCACUUAAAACACUGACACCCUCUGCCCACUCCUAACUGCCAUUCUUUUUUUCACGUUAUGAUGAUCCCAUAGUUACAGAUCUUAAGAUUCUCAUAGAAAUAAGCAUGAAACAGGUACCUGUUAGCUUUUGGGCCAAGUGUUGGACUGGAAAUUCCAAUGAACUGGUUGUGUCACCAGGGGCUUGGGGCCACUUACUUUUUAUAAUGUUUCACAUUAUGGGGAUAAUUGCAUUGUUUCUCUUGGGGGAGUUAUUAAGACAGCUAAUAAAAACAUUUAUGUAUAGAACCCAGCUCUGAUUAGAGAUUUAGUGUCAGUAUUCAGUAAGUUAUAAAUGGUUGUUUUAAGCUCUUAUUUCUGAGAUACAGACGGUGAUGGUUAUAGCUAGCACAGUUCUUUUAGACUCAUUUGAGUUUCUGGCUAUUGUCAAGAACCAAGUUUUUAUGAGUUACAAUUAUGCCGAAAUAAGAUGAUCGAAAUUUAUUUACUGUUUCUCAAACAGGAACAAAAAGAAACUCUAUUUAAAAGGUCCUUCUCUUAUUGUUCAUUUCAAGAGGCUGAUUCUUGAUGUACUGGUAUUGUAUUUAUAAGACUGACAUAGGAAACUCCAGUAUGUAAACAUGGGUGGAUGAAUGUACUAUACCUUUAAUAUUAAUAUUAAAGUUAGCUCUGUAAAAGGCUUAUCAACCCAACAAAGUACAAGAGAAAAGUUACAUACAUUGAGAUGAAUUUGCUAGUCAAGAAGGCAAAUAUGGAUACAUUUAAAGGGGGCAUUUUUCUCCUCCUAUCCCCUGCUCUCCUCUUCAACAAAAGCCCAGAUAAAGUCUGAGGAUCUCCAACAGCAGGAGUGCUGGUGGGGAGAAAUCACCUAAGCGCUCUCAAUUCCUCUCGUCUGUUAACAUCAAUAGGCAAUGUAAUUAAGACAAGCCCUAAUGUGGUUUAUUGUUUUCCUAUUGCACACGCUAGUUUUGUCUCUCAUCCCAUCUGGCUCCUGAAGUUCCUCAAAGUGACUAUCCAGGUGGAAAAUUCCUUACACAGUCAAUUUUGAAGGAGCCAUAUGGAUGGAGAGCAACAUUACUGCUAAUAAAUAACUCACUGAUAAUUAGUUCUCAAAAGGAAGUUUCAUCUCUCAUGGGCUAUUAGCAUUUCAUGUUAAAUUCUCUAGGACUUCGUAAAUAGUUGAAUGCUUUGCUCUUGCUGGAAAUAUCAACUCCUUGUUUUCCAUUCUAACUGUCACAAUCCUUACAACAAGGAAGAGGAGGGUUGAGGGGUGCACAGGAAGGAAGGUGGUCAUCACAUACUGUACAGGGAGUCCCUUGGGCACAGCAGACCCAGCAUGCCCAAAUCAUCCUGUCCUUAUCCCGUGUGCAUCCCUCAACCCUCCUUCUUUGUUAGAGUCUAUAAUUAAAUAAAAGUCACCCCCUUAAUUCAGUUAUCCAAUCCUGCCAGUCUGGAAAACUUUUUCAGUCUCUCGUGUUCACCAACCCCUAUUACCAAUCCAUUGCCAAACCAUACCAUUUUUACCUCUUAAAUAUCUUAAAUAGUACUCUUUUCUCCAUCCCCUUUGCCUUCAUUGAUCACCCGGUAUUCUUAACUUCACUCCCAGAGAAGGCCAGGAGCAAGCCCAGGGCCCAGGGGAGAUAUAGUUUCAUUGGACUUGGAGCUAGAGGGACAAUGGGUGUGUGGCUGGCAAGCCUCGCCCAAGGCAAUGGAAGAUGGAAGAGUCUAAAGGGACAGCUAAGAUCCACAUUUUGGGGAGAGAGUCAGGAAGUAUCAAAUCUAAGACCCUGUGUGUUUGAGUGGGAGAAGGGAUGGGGUUAAAUGGCAGUUGCUGAGUGAUUACUCUGCGUUUGAAGUUGGCACUUAUGGGCAGGAAUGUGAUGGUCUAGUGGAACAGGAGUAGACAGACAUCGGAACUCUAAGCUUCUAAACCAAGGCUCUUGUCUCAAUAGCACUAACUAAAAUUCAUAAUUAUUUAAUUUUCCUUUUCUUUUCUCAUCUCCCCACUAAAAUCUAAGCUUUGAAGUCAAGGACCCUCUAUGUGUGUCACCAUCAUAUGCCCAGUGCUUCCCACAGUACUUCAGGCAUGAUCAACACUGUCAAAUAUUUGUUGAGGGGUCCCUGGGUGGCUCAGUCAGUUGAGCUCCUGACUUCAGCUCAGGUUAUGAUCCAUAGUUUUGGUUUGGGAGUUGGAGCGCCACAUCUGGCUUGCUGCUGUCAGUCCGCUUCGGAUCCUCUCCCUCGUUUGCGCCCACUCUCAAAAAUAAACAUUUUUUAAAAAAGCAAAAAAUGAAAUAUUUGUUGAAUAACUAUAUGAAUUGGUCUUGAAUACUGAAAAUCUAAUCUUAUCACUUCAAUGCUUAAGAAUUCUUCAGUGACUCCAUCAAGCGUUUAGGGUAAAAUAAACCCAGAAUCUUCAGCUUAGCUUUAAACAAAUAAACAAAAAAUAAGCCAUUUGGUUAGUUCAGGUUAUUUUCCCACCUAGUAGCUUAACAUUUCCUCCCUCUUCUCCCUGCAGAAAGGGGCAGUUUUGAUCAUAAUACACUACUUGUGGCUUUUCGCAUGUGUCAUAUUCAUUCACUUCUUUCUUAAUAAGCAGGGAUAGUUCAGGAAACAUGCUCUCCAAAAAGCUUUUCCCAACUUUAUCUCUGGCCUUGGUAAAGUAAGAAGAAAGUGAUGGUUAAUUUUGUGCCAACUUAGCUAAGCUAUGGUGCCCAGUUGUUUGGUCAAGUGCCAUUCUAAUGUCGCUAUGAAAAUUUUUUUCGUUAGAUAUGAUUAACGUUAAAAAAAAAUUUUUUUAAGUAGGCUUCAUGUCCAGCAUGGAGCCCAACACGAAGCUUGAACACAGAAGUCUGAGAUUAAGACCCGAGAUGUGAUGGAGAAUUGGGUGCUUAACCAACUGAGCCACCCAGGCUCCCACAGAUAUUAACAUUUAAGUCGGUAGACUUUGAAUAAAGCAAAUUGCCCUCCCUAACAUGAUCAGGCCUCAUCCAACAGUGGAGAACUUAAAGGGAAAGACUGAGGUUUCCCAAAGAAGAAGGAAAUCUCCUGAAGACUGCAACACAGAAACGCUGCCUGAAUUUCCAGCUCAUGACCAGCCCUCAGACUGGUCAUGCUCCACAGCCCUCAGACUGGUAGGCUCCACAACCACAGGAGACAAUUGUGUAAUAUCAAUCAAUCCAUCAAUCAGUCUCUCUCUCUCUCUCUCUCUCUCUCUCAGCUCAGCUCAGCACCCAUCCCCCCUUAUACAGAGAUUGUGUUUCUCUGGAGAACCUAUACUAAUACAGGAGCUUUCUAUUUUAACUCCUCCUAUGUCUAGAACUUAGCAGAUGAAUAAAUGAAAAGUUAAGUCUAGCAUGAAAUCACCCCCUCCCCCCCAGUAGAAGAGGACUUUGCAGUGCAGAGAUAAUCAGCUCAUGUCAGGGAAAUACUAGUGAGUUAACCUGGUCUCCAGCACAUCCCUGAACAGCCCCUCCCUUGCCUCCCGGUGACUUGAUCAUCUGAGGCAUAAUAAAAAAUAAUGAGGAAAAUAUACAUUUUAUGAGUCCACUCAUUCUGUUUUUGAAUGCAGGGAAACAUGGAAACAUGUUACAAAGAUUUCAACACAAGCAAUAUCAGUGCUGGAGGGUAGAACAGUGGGGUGGGGCCUCAGCCCUCCUGGAAGGAGGCGCAAAAUCAACUGCUCUUCAAGAGAGCCUAGAAAUGGGUGCCUUUCUCUGUGGUCCCAUUUCACCCUUUUUUGUGUGGGCUUUGAUUUUUGAAUGACUGAUGAGUCACUGAAAAAGACGUCUCCACACCAGCCGCUUUGGACUGCUUGUCUUCAACCUCUGGUCUAAACAAACCUGAACAUGUCUUCAGUGAAGUAAGCGAGCACAUGAUCAAAGCUCUAGGCAAGGAUGGCCAGCCUCCGGCUAUUUUUUCUGGUGCUUGCUGGACUUCUGCAUUUACACUAAAAAAUGCCAGAUCAUUCCCAGUAGGUAUGACAGAGAAUAGGUACUGGUAAAUAUUUACUGAAAAUCUCUGAGAAUAAAGUGCACACAGAGACUUCUUACCGAUUCGCACGUCACCAGUUCCCUCUUGCUUGGGCUCCUCUCUCUGGGUAUAAUCCUCCUCCAUCAGGAUCUUCUUCUAAAUCUCAAAGGAGAAACUGAGAAUAGAAAAGAACCAUGACUGGGAAGCCAAGGUGACCUUGGAGAACUGAAGGUCAACAGAGCUAACACUCGGGGAACACUAACUGCUGUUGAAUUUGAAAAACAGACAUCUUGGAUCAUCCUAUAAUCCCACUGCUGACUAUCCUUUAGAAUGACAAAUUUCAACACCAUCGCCACUAACCACUACCAACAAAAGUACAUUUUUGGUAGAAUUGUUACAUAUUAAAAAACAAAAACAAAUACAAAAAAAAAAAAAAAAAACAGAUGCCAGCAAACAAGUACGGGUCAAUACUUGGACAGAAGAACCAGUUUCUCAACAUUGUUGUUUCGACCUGGGGUUUGAUGUUACUUUAUAUUAUAUUUUUCAUCCCAUGCUCUGUCAGUCAUCCUGUUAGGUCCUUUGUCUUUAUUAUUUCUUUUACUUUUUAUAAAAUCUUAUAUUAUAGAAAAGGAAGCCAGUAUCUUUGUUCUUAAGAGCUUUCCAAAGAGCUCCUGACCAAGUCAGGCCUUUCUCAGCUCUUGUAUGUGUCUAGAUUUCUCUGCAGACUCAGGGAUGCCCCAGGAGAUGAUGUGGUCCCACGGCCAUAUGAGGGAUCUCAUCUGUUGUGCAUCUACUAUGCCAAAUAUUCCUCAUCUAAUUUUCACAAUGACUCUAAGACUAAGUAUUACCAUUCCCAUUUUACAGAUGAGAGACCUAAGGCUCAGGAAGAAGAAGAGAGUUAUCAAAAUCACAUAACCAGUAAUGCAUGCUACCUUUUAAGGUAACAAUCCUCAUCUACCAUUCAGAUGCCAAAAAAAGUAUCAGGUUUUGUUUAAAUUGUUCUUAAUCUAUUAAGGAGGAUGGAUUUUAAUGGUGGUAGAACUAGAAGCAGAAAGACAGUUAGAGGUCUAUACAAUAUUUCCAGGGAGACAUGUUAAGAAAAUAAAGUAGAGCAUUUGUUUAAGAUAAUAAGGUUCAAACUGUGAUAUAUUUGUAGAUACAGAAAUAGGCAUAGGCCCAAGGACAGAGAUAGAGAUAGAUAACUCAUCAGCCCAAGAUAACUCAAGAUAAUUUACUGGUACUGGCAGGUGGGUAAGGGGAGAGUCUGGUGUGAUUUGGUAGCUGAUAGAUAAUGUGCCAUUAUCCAAGAAUGGAAAUACAGGAAGUGGAACAGAUGGAAAGCAAGGAAGGGAAUUCAAUUUUGGAUAUGUUGAUUUGGAAUAUGUCAGCAGAGCAUCCAAAUAAAGUGUGAGGUACAGAUCAUGGUUGGAGUUGGAAGUUGGAAGGGUCAGGUCAUGAGAGGUUUUGUUUUUUCUCAAAACAGGAGGGAGCAAGCUAAGCUGGUUCAGAAGCUGAGGGAAGAUAGAGAGGGAAAUGGUGAAGAUCUAGAAGAGAAGAAUUAAGUGAUGGAUCGGGGUCAUAGGAGAAAGGGUGAGAAUUGGGUCAAGAGCCCAGUUGGAGGUUUGGCCUUGGCUAGAAGUGCUCCUCCUUUCAAAAGACUACAUAGGGAAAGGUGAUGAGGAUAGAUGCCUACAUGGAUCAAUGACUGUGUGUCAGGAAGCAGUAAGAGUAGUGGAUUUUUACAGGCUGAGUGCCUCAUGGUUGUCAGUGAAGGACAAGGUCAACUCUCCCAUUGAAAGUCCACCAGCUUUGGGGUGCCUGGGUGGCUCAGUUGGUUGAGCGUCCGACUUUGGCUCAGGUCAUGAUCCCGCAGUUCGUGAGUUCAAGCCCCGCGUGGGGUUCUGUGCUGACAGCUCGGAGCCUGGAGCCUGGUUCCGAUUCUGUGUCUCCCUCUCUCUGCCCCUCCCCUGCUCAAGGUCUGUCUCUCUCUGUCUCUCAAUAAUAAACUUUGAAAAAUAAUUUUUUUUAAAAACUUAAAAAAAAAAGAAAGUCCACCAGCUUGAACAUUUUGUAGGAGAUAAAUGCAGAAAUAUAGUCUUCCAUAAGUUGUAUUAAAAAGAAGCUUGAAAAGCAUUUGUGCCACAAGUAAUACCAUCAAGAAAGGGAAAAGACAACCCACAGAAUGGGAGAAAAUAUUUGCAAAUCAUACAUCUGAUAAGGGACCUGUAUCUGGAAUAUGAAAUGACUCUUAAAAUUUAAAAUGGUCACAGGAUUUGAAUAUAUACAAAUGCCAAUAAGCAGGUGAAAAGAUGCUGAGCAUCAUUAAUCCUCAGGGAAAAUCACAUUAAUACCACAAUGUGAUAUCGCUUCAUACCCCCUGGGGUGUCUAUGUUGAAAGAGACAGAUAACAAGUUAUUGGAGAGGAUACUUGUAAGGGCUUGGGGGAAUGGAAAUUGCCACUUUGGAAAACAAUGUGGUGAUUCCUCAAACGGUUAACCAUAGACUUACCACAAGAUCCAGGGUUCCACUCAUAGGUAUAUACCCAAAAGAAAUGAAAACGUACAUUCACAUAUAACUUGAAUACUAAUGUUCAUAUCUUCAUUUUUCCUAAGAGCCAAAAAGCGGAAACAACCCUUAUGUCCUUCAAUGGGUGAAUGGAUAAAGAAAAUGUGGUAUAUCUGUGUAAUGGGAUAUUAUUUGGCAGCAAAAAGGAAAGGAUGCUCCAAUGUAGACAACCCUUGAAAAUAUUAUGCUAAGUGAGAAAAGCAAGUCACAUCACAUCUUAUAUGAUUCUAUUUAUAUAAAGUGUCCUGAAGAAACAAGUCUAUAAAGACAAAAAGUAGAUUGGCAGUUGCCUAGAGCUGGGUGUGGGGGAGAGGUGGAGGAGCGAUAGGAUAUGACCGCUAAUGGGUAUGGGGUUUCCUUUUGGGGUUGAUGGAGAUGUUCUAAAAUUGGGUUGUGGAAAAUUCUGCAGAUACAUUAAAAACCAUUGGUAUCUGUACUUCAAAUGGAUGUAUACUCUGGUAUGGGAAUUACAUCUCAGUAAGUUGUUUUCAAAAAUGAAGCUUGAGGUCUAAGGAAAAGACUAUGGACAGAGGCAUGGAUGAAAGAACACUGUUGAAGACCAGAUAAUAAUGAUAAUAAUAGCCAUUAUGUUUGAGGAUUCACAAGCUGGGCACUGUGCUAAGCGUUUUACCUACAUUAUCUCCUUUAAUCUUUGCCACAAACACACGUAUAUUAGGUACUUUUUCCUUAUUACGCAGACAAUAAAGUUAAGAAAAUGUAAGGAACUUGUUCAAGGUUAAUAACAAGAAAAAGACAGAGACAAGAUAUAUAGACCUGUGUCUGUGUCCACCUGGAGCCUAUUUCUUUUUUUUUUUUUUGUCAUAUGAAAUUUCUUGUCAUAUUGGUUUCCACACAACACCCAGUGCUCAUCCCAACAGGAGGAACCUGUUUCUUAAAUACCUGCACUACGCUACUUCCCACAAAUUUUGCUGUCCCAUUUAGCUUCAACUUUCUGGGUUUAGCACAAAUGCCAAUGUCUUUAGGCCAGCCUCUUUUCGCUGGCCCAGCCACGACAUUUUAUGGGAGCACUCUACCAACCUUAGAGUAGUUCAGAGUGUCUUCGUUUCUGCCAUCCCAAGUAAGGGUUGUAAAAUAAAUGCAACACUAAUAAAGAGUUACAGAAUACAUACCUCAAUAAAUUAGCACUCUCUUUACCUCCUUCGCACCCAGGGGCCUUAGAAGCAGGACUGCUACCUUGUACAGAGCGAUUUCCUGCUGUUCAGGACACUGAUUAAGAGAUAAAGUUUGGGGCGCCUGGGUGGCGCAGUCGGUUAAGCGUCCGACUUCAGCCAGGUCACGAUCUCGCGGUCUGUGAGUUCGAGCCCCACGUCAGGCUCUGGGCUGAUGGCUCAGAGCCUGGAGCCUGUUUCCGAUUCUGUGUCUCUCUCUCUCUCUCUGCCCCUCCCCCGUUCAUGCUCUGUCUCUCUCUGUCCCAAAAGUAAAAUAAAAAACGUUGAAAAAAAAAAACUUAAAAAAAAAAGAGAUAAAGUAGCCAAGAGCUCCACCCAGAGAGAAUGUGUCUCUUCAUUCUCCUCUAUCCAGAAAAAUUGUGAAUGAGAAGAAAAGAACAGAGGUUAAUCUUAACUCUUAGAGAAGCAAUGCUCCUACCAAGUUGCUUCUCAAGAUGGUUCCUCUCAGGUUUUGAGGUCUUGAUGCUACCUUUCAGCUUUCCUCACCUAUUUAACCACACAUAUACCUACAAUGGCCUUUGCAGUGGAGUAGGGGUUCAAGAAAUUUUAUCUUCUUUCUCCAUUCCUUUCACUGUCCUCCCUCUUGUCCCCACUUGGCACUCAUCAAGUGCUUAUUACUCACAUACAGACCUCCAGAGCAGAAAGGGGGAACUGUAAAAGCAGAGACAAAAUACAAACCUGGUUCACUGAAACUGGUCUGCUUAAUCUCCUCUGUGCUCAGUAAUCCUAGCAAAAUUCUGGGGACCAUUUAAACUGAGACACUAAGUACCUCCUGAGGAAAUAUGGCAUCUGUUCAACAAUACCACUUUUUUUUUAAAAUAAUGUGAGGAUCAGCAGAGGAAAAAUAUUUAUUUGUAAUAAAAUAUCCCAAUGCUUAUGUGGGCUUCCAUUGUGCCAGACAUCGUACUGAAGUUUUUAUAGACAACAUUUCGUCAUCACCUAACUUCUUAUGGUGGGUUCUCCUAUGUGACGGAUGAGAAAAUAAAAGGAAGAAGAGAAGGAAUAACUUUUCCAAGGUCACCAAGUCAGUUUGCAGAGGGGACCAGCAACCUUCAAAAGCAGGUGACUCUGAAGUCUCUCCAUCUCUCCAUUACCCCACCUCCCACACCCUUUCUGUUGUCACCAAGCUCCUUUUCAUGGAGAUUGUUCUCCUAGAAGCAGUAAGGAGAAACAUGAUUAUAAAUAUAUAGAUAUAUUCAGAAGCAAUCAUCCAAUAUCAAUGCAAAAAUACUGAUUAAAUAUUAGAAAACAAAAUCCAACACCACAUUAAGAAAAUAUACCAUGAUCAAGUGGGAUUUAUUUCAGGAAUGCAAGGAUGAUUGGGAAUUAAGAAAUCUAGUAAUAUAAAAUUCCACAUCAGUAGAUGUAAGUGGAAUAAUUAUGUGAUUAUCCCCUAUAGGAAAAAAAAAAAGCUUUUGACAAAAGAUUCCUGAUAAAAACACUCAAGAAAAUAAGAAUCGAUGCGUAUUUCCUAAACAGAAUACCUUGGUCCUAAAAUCAGCAUUGUGCUUAAUGAGAAAUACUAGAGAUAGUUCCACUAAGAUUAGGAAAGAGUCAAGAAUGCUUACCAUCUCUACUACUGUUGAAUAUUGUUCUAGAGGCAUUAGCCAAUACAAUGUAAAAGGGCAGAACAAUAAGAGACACAGGAAUUGGAAAAGAGCUAAAACUGUUUUCCAAUGAUAUGACAGCUUAUUCAGAGAACCUGAGGAAAUCAACAAUAAACUAACACAAACAAUAAAAUAAAUGCUAAUUUACUAGGGCCAAUUUUAGUUUUGUUAUAGUUAGAAUAACUUCAACCUUCAGAAAAGCUGCAAAAUGGGAAUGCAAACUGGUGCAAUUACUCUGGAGCAGUAUGGACGUUCCUCAAAAAAUUAAAAAUAGAACUCCCCUACAACCCAGCAAUUGCACUACUAGGUAUUUAUCCAGAGGAUACAAAAAUGCUGAUUUGAAGGGGCACACGCACCCCAAUGUUUAUAGCAGCACUAUCAACAAUAGCCAAAGUAUGGAAAGAGCCCAAAUGUCCACCAACUGACAAUAGAUAAAGAAGAUGUCGUAUAUAUAUAUAUAUACACAUACACACAAUGGAAUAUUACUCAGUGAUCAAAAAGUGUUGCCAUUUGCAACAAUGUGGAUGGAACUAGAAUGUAUUAUGCUAAAAGAAGUCAGUCAGAGAAAGAUAAAUAUCAGAUGAUUUCACUCUUAUGUGGAAUUUAAGAAACAAAACAGAUGAACGUAAGGGAAAGGAAGGAAAAAUAAGAUAAAAAGAGAGAGGGAGGCAAACCAUUCUCUUAAAUAUAGAGAGCAAACUGAGGGGUUGCUGGAGGGGUGUUGGGUGGGGGGAUGGGCUAAAUGGGUGAUGCGCAUUAAGGAGGGGACUUGUUGGGAUGAGCACUGGGUGUCAUAUGUAAGCGAUGAAUCACUACAUUCUAUUCCUGAAACCAUUUUUACACUAUAUGUUAACUAACUUGGAUUUAAAUGAAAUUUUAAAAAGUAAUAAAAUAAAAUGAAUUUUUUUAAAAAGCUGCAAGAAUAACACAACAAAUAUUUUUCCUGGAACCAUUUGGAAGUAAGUUUUGAAUAUGGUGCCCGGCAUUACUGAAUAGUUUAGUGACGUAACUCAUCAAACAAGGACAUUCUCCAGAAACUCACAAUAUAAGGAUCAAAAUCAGGAAAUCAUCAUUGACACUACCAUUGAAUUCACUAACUUCUUUUAAGUUUAAUUAAUUGUCCCAACAGUAUCUUUUUUUUUUUUUCUGAGAGACAGAGGGGGCGCAAAUGAGUGAGGGUGCAGAGAGAGAGAAUCUCAUGAGGAGCAGAGAGAGAGAAGCAGGGCUUGAGCUCAUGAACUGUGAGAUCAUGACCUGAGCUGGAGUCAGAUGCUUAACCGACUGAGCCACCCAGGCACCCCCAACAAUAUCCUUUAUAGGAGCUAAUCUAGGAUCAUGUACUGCACUUAGUGGUUGUAUCUCUUUAGUCUUUUUUCCACUCUGUAAAAGUGUAGCAUGGGUGGCCUUUCUUAAUUUACCCUCACUCCCGCCCCUCUACACCAGGGGUAUCAGAAAAGGCCAAGACUGACCACAGCCCAAACUAUCCUGCCAGACAUAGAAAAUGAAUAAUUGCUUGAAUGUGUAGAGAGAAGCUUGGAAAUGAUGCCAUGCCUUUUAUCUUCUCUUAUUUUUACUAUAAAAAUUUUGAAAUAGAAUAUGAAUGUGGAAAUAUGUUAAAUCAUUCACUCUUUGCUGAAUUCUUCCUAGAUAGAAUAUUCACGGGAAAAAAAUGUCUUCUUUCCAAAUGGUUCUAAGACAAGGUCUCUUAGGUUGUAUAUUCUCUGGUCUGAUCUCCAAGUAAAUCUCAGGUAAGGAGCCUAUUCUUAGAUUAAAUUUUAUACAAGCACACAAAGAAUACAACUGUCCCCAUUGUGUUAGAUAUGGGCUCUAAGCAAGCUAAAAAAAAAAAAAAAUUCUAGUCUGAAUUUGCUUCAAAGUUCUGUUGGGAAUUUUUGGAAAUCUGUUUGAUUACCACUAAUUUCAUGGAGUGAUAGUUCAAAUUUCUUUACAUGUAGAGCCUACAACUACUUUUCCAUAACUAUAUUUUUUCUGGUGUCAUAUCAUUAGCUUUCAUUCAAUUAUCUGAAGGCUUUUAAAAGUAUAACAGAUACAUAGGUAACCAUCAUGCUAUGUGUGUUUGAUGAAUCUUUGUGCUCAUUAACCUACCCAGAUACAUUAUUGGAUUUCCUUAUUUCUGUUUUUUCUUUUUAAUGUUUAUUCAUUUUGAGAGAGAGAGAGAGAGAGAGAGAAAGAGAAAAAGAGAAAGAAAAUGAGUGGGGGAGAGACAGAGCAUCUUAUUUCUGGAGUCCGGACAGGUUUCUGGAGCCAGUGUGAAUGAUCACAUGGAGAGUUGCCAGGUUUUUGUGGCAAAUUCUAGAUUUCUUUUAGUGCCUGGGAUCCAUGCUUCUUGAGGCUAACUCAGUGGAAGUAGUCUUGAAUGUUGAUGUUCUAUUUUCUCAUCUCCUUGGUGGCGGAAUAACCCCCCACCACACACACCUUUUUUUUUUUUUUUCCCCUACCAUUCUUUGUAGGAGCCGUAUUAUCUCAGAAAAGGUUGGAAAGAGAUGGAUUAUGGGAGGGGCAAAAUUCCACUUUCUGGUUGCCUAGAGACAAGGCCACACCAGGGAACAUUAAAAAAUACAGAUUCCUUAAUACCAGUCCAGACUUUCGAAUCAGAAUCUGUGGAAUAAAUCCAGUAAUACGUAUUUUUUAAAGAAAUUUCUCAAGAGAUUCUUCCUUGACUAGCAUUGAGAAGUUGUGUUUUACACAUAACGUUUUGCAGAAUGAUCCCUAAAAAAACUUACAAGAGUCUGGGAAAUAAUGCUCUCCCUAGCCCCUUCUUAGCACACUGUGGCUCAUAUUAGCAUAUGCAUUUAAGGAAACAUCUACUUAAUUUUGUUUACUGCAACAUUUCUCAAACUUAUUUGACUAUAGAACACACUUCUUUUUUUUUGACACAGCACAUUACUAUGCCAUCCCCAAAAGUACAAGCUUUAUGAAAUGUUGGGAGAGAAAAUACAACUCACCGUGUCACCCCCUUUUUUAUUAACAAAAUCAGCACCUCUGAUGUUUGUCAACUCACUAAUGCUUACAACUUGCAGCCACUUAUCAGGACUAUUAUACAAGGUUUCAUAGGGCCUUCGUUCUCAAUACUAGUCUCUGUCUCAUCCUCUGCUCAUUCCUAAACCUUAGAUGUUAAAAAAAAUAAAAGUAGUUAUAGAAUUGGUAUGCAUUGAUUACUUCCUGAAUGCUAGGCUCUGUUCAAAGUACUUUUCGGGCCCUAUAUCAUUAAUCCAUAGCCCUAUGGAGUAGGUUUUAUUAUUAUAACAAUGUUAUGACAGGAUAUCGAUGUAAAGAGAGAUUAAGUAGCUAAACCUAAGAAAACACACAGUUACUAAGUGGUGAAUCAGGUAUUACAGACAUUGAAUCCAGGUGUUCGGACUCUGAGUUGAUAGUAUUAACCAGUCUUAUUUUGUUUGAGCAUUAGUCAUUGCUCGUCCUCUACUUCCUCUGCUUCUCCAUGCUCCUUCUUGGCAGUCUCAUCUAGUCGAAGCUUCACCUUGUCCACACCUUGCUAAACCCUUUCCCCAACUCUUGUUCUCUCUUCUGGGCCACAGACCCACUCACUAACUGCUUGCCAGACAUCUCAGUGGGGAGCUAUCACUGGAACCUCAAAGUCAAUAUAAUUCUAAUAGAAUCUCAUCUUUCCCCCUCCAAAUUUACCCCUCCUUUUGUGUUCUCCCUUUCCAGUCAUUCACGUAUUUCUUCCUACGACAUAUCUGAGCAUCUAUUACGUGUUUGGUACUAUGCCCUGGUAGGGAUAUGUAUGUAUAAAAAUGAACAGAACCUGGGUUCUUACUCUCGGUUUCUAUGGCCCCGUAACUUCAGUGAACACAUGCUUCAUCAUGCCCUCCUCCUCUUUCUUUGUUAUGUUCUUCCAGAUCAAUCUCCAGCAGCUAUAUUCAUUGUCUAAAUUGUUCUCAAGCUAUAUUUACUUGAAAGGGAGUUUGGUUUUCCUGAAUUAUUUUCCCAUGACAGGUCACAGGCACACACAUCUAUAGGUGGUGUGUCAGAUUGUAUUCUAAGGAUGGCGACACCACCAAACAUGCAACGUGACACAUUCUUGCAAUGUGACAUUGACAGUCCUUCAUGAGAUGGGGUCUAUACCUCCUCCCUUUGGAUCUAGGUGGGCUUGUAUCUGCAGUGGAAGGGAUAUUAUGUGCUUUUAGAGGCUACGUCCUAACAGGCAAAACAACUCUUGCCUGGCCUUUUGGGGGUGCUUAUGCUUGGAAACCAAGGAAGGGGAAAGGCCUCACAGAGUUGCUAUGUGAAAGUGUCCCAGGUUAUGGUCCCCACCGAGGACCCAGCCGACAGCCAGUACCAACCUCCAGACUGGUGGGUGGACAAGAUUUCAGAUGAUUCGCAGUCCUGGCCUUUAAGCUACCAUAGCUGAUGCUGAGCAGAGCAGAGCAAAAACAAGUUAUCUCCUCUGAGCUUUACAUAAAUUGCCGAUGUGUGAGCCACAUAAGUGUUGUCAUUGUUUUAAGCCGUUGAGUUUUGGGAUGGCUUGUUAGGUAGCAACAGACAGGCAGGAUAGGUGCCUACAUUUGUUUUAACCUCCUAUAUGUUGCCAGAGGCAAGGUCACAUAGCGCAGAGCACAGUUGCUGCCAAGGAGGCAAGCACCCGGAUUAAAUGUCAAUCGUGCGUCAUUAUUUUUUAAAUGUUAAUCCUCUAUAGCACCUAAUAGAGUGUGUGGCAUGGAGUAUAUGCCAAAUAAAUACUUAUUGAAUUGAAUUGAAGCAUGAUGUGAUAGUAAGAACAUACAUCUUGCUGUCAGCUAUACUAAAUUUUAAGUCAAAGUUCUAGAUGCCACAGUUCUAAUUUUUAAAUAAGAGAGAUAAGGACAAAAUGAGAAAGACUGAAGCCUGAUUGCAAAGGAUCUUGAAUGCACGGUUAAGAUUCUUUUUUUUUUUUUUUUUUUUUAGGUAAUGGGGACUCAUGGAAGAUUAUAGAGAUGUGAUAGGCAUAAGGCAACUUUUUGAGAAGAUUAAUAUGGCUGCAAGGCAUGGAAUGGGAGCCCAGGUAAGCAAAAACCGGUGAGGAAGUGAAGUCAGUGUCCAAGCAUGUUAGUAUCUAAACAGUACCUAAAAAAUGUAGCCAGGAGAAUGUCAGGCCAGGAUUAAAUGGGAGGAUGAUUUACCAAGGAUGUUUCUAUAGAUUUUGAGUUGGAGCCUAUAAAGGAGAAGAUUAGUAUAAAGAAAAAGAAGUCCAAAAUGGAUCCCAAUAAUUUGGCAGAAUUUAUUAAAAAUUAUUCACAUAGGAUAGGCGAUGUAUGAUUCAGCAAUCUCACUUCUGAAAAUAUGCCUUAUUAAGAAAUGACAGCAAAAGUACUUAAAUAUAACCAUCAGCCAGGUAAUGGUUAAGUAUAGUAUGUCUAUACAAUGGAAUAAUGUGAGAAAGAAGUAACUCUGAAUAAACUGAUCUGAAUAAGCUUUAAGUGGAAGGGGCAUGUUGUAAACAGAUAUACAUAUAUGUAUAUUAUAUAUAUGUAUACUAUCUGAUUUUUGUUAAAAGCAGAAGAAAAGCCUGAGUGUCAGAAAGAAAAAAACAUUAAAAUUAAUGCUAUUUUCCUCUGGAAACUGGGGAUUUUGGAAGGGUGUGGGAGUGAAGUGGUCUUAAAAUAGAUACUUUGAAAACUUUGUAUAAUUUGAUUUUUUGUUGUUCCUUGCUUUUUUUUUCUUUAAUCAAAACAUGAAAAACACAUUUUAAGUUCACAAGUCUGAUACCAUUACGAGCAAAGAGUAUCAUUCACAGAAACAGUAAAGUCUGAAAAGACUAUUAGGUUCAGGGCAUCGAUGAUGAUUCAAUGUGGAUUAAUGUGUUUUUGGCAUAAAGGGCUGAAUCAUGGUUGGAGUUGUAAUCUUUGGCAGCGUCGAACGUGUGCAUGGGCCAGGCCUUCUAGAACAUGGUUCUGGUAGGGCCAGUCAGGAGAUGUGGACGAUCAGGUGGGGCUUGCAGCUGAGAGCAAGAGAGGGACUGGGACUUCUGCCUGUCCCAGCACUGGAAGGAAUAACUCUUUUUGACACAGCCUGUUUACCCAAAAGCCUGUUUAUUCUCAUGCCAUUGAUGUGAUUCCAUAAUAAUUAACUCUGGACCUUCCAACCUAAUAUGAAAGUUGGUAGGUAGGACAACUUCCUACAGGUAAAAGUCGUCUUCAUAAAUUUAUCUAUCCCCACCAUGAACUUAUUUACAUUUUUAACCUGGAAUAUAUCUAUAGCUACAUUCAUAUCUAUGUUUAAAUCUAUAUUCAUAGCAUCUAUAUUAUCUGUAUAUUUGUCUAGAUAUAUGAACAGAAAUAAAUAUCCUGCCUGCACAUUCUCAUAUAAAAUAAUCAGCAUUUAUUCAAAUUUAGCCCUGACCAAUACAAGUUAUUAGGACGUAUUAAAUGUAGGGUAAAUAUAUUAUAAGAAUGGAUUCCACACAAGGUAUUAUAUCAGUAUGUUGUAGAACCAGGGUUUUAUUACAGGAUUACUGACUGCUUCUCCAGAUGGAUUUAAAUUGAUGACUCUAAGAAAAUUUUUGCAAAAAGGCGCCUUUUAGCCUACUGACCCUAGAAAUGUGCUUAUCAUAGCUCCUGGGAAGAUCUCAUUUCCCUUCAUGGCUUCAAAAUGCUUUGGGCAAAAGAAACAUUGUGUAUUUUAUUAAGUGAAUAUUAUCCUCAAAGCACACUAAUGAAUUUUUUUAAUACAUGAAAAGCCUCCUUUAAAGUCUGUUCAAUAUAUAACACACAUUGCCUUGGAGAAGUAUUAAAUAAUAUAUUUGAAAUUUUAGAAAUGCAUAUGCAAAGUUCUCAGCCGAAGUCCCCCAAAUAUUUGUAAUUCUACUGUUGUCAGUUUCCUUUUAUGUAUCCUGUCUCCUGUAGGUUCUGAACAGAUAUAGGGAUAACAAAAAACCGUGUCAUGAUGCCUUUCUUUUCUUUUCCUUUUUUAUUUACAAAGCAAGAAGAAAGGCAUGGGAGUAUAUGAGUUGCCUAAAAUCUCACUGCCCUUCAUGCUGACAAUGAUAUUCUUAGACUCUGGGAUGUGUUCACGUUUUUUGCUAUUCUCUUUACUCAUGACAUUUAGAAACAAGUGACUAAUACUUACCUAAGAAGUGUGUAUGUAUUUGUAUAAAAUAUAUGUGUAUAUUUUAAAUCACUGCUAUGAAUGUAUAUGCUACCUCGUAAAUUAAUAGAAAAAAUACAGCAUUUCAAGCAAAGAAUUUAGAUUGCUUUAACUUUGUCCAUUUCUUUCUCUCCCGAACAGAAAUGCCAGACUUGGUUUCCCUGCUUGUCCUCCCGCAGUAUACCCUGCCAAGCUAUUCCAAAGUGAAAAUCAUUACUUCCUGCUAUCUAGUAGGCGUACAGGAACCAGAGGAAGAAGAGAAGCUUCUUUUCUGAAACCAGGAACAAUGCUCGGAUGUGGAGGCCUCUGCCAAACUUUAGUAGCUUUCUGUGCAUCCUUUACUACCGCUGGGGGGAACAAAAUUACCAAUUUCUCCAUGACAGUUUGGCUCCAUGAUGGUUUGAAAAAG
rnacentral:lncRNA from 1 species